rnacentral:rRNA from 1 species
AAUUUUUUAUGAGAGUUUGAUCCUGGCUCAGGAUGAACGCUGGCGGCGUGCCUAACACAUGCAAGUCGAGCGAGGGUUUGCUCAGUAUUGAGUAUUCUAAGUCUAGAAUGUUCAAUUCUGAGCAAAACCAAGCGGCGGACGGGUGAGUAACGCGUGGGUAACCUGCCCUAUACACAUGGAUAACAUACUGAAAAGUUUACUAAUACAUGAUAAUAUAUAUUUGCGGCAUCGCAGAUAUAUCAAAGUGUUAGCGGUAUAGGAU